rnacentral:lncRNA from 1 species
CGAUGACAGCAUCAUAUUGAGGCAGAAGAAAACAAACACAUCGUUUGACAAAUGCAGGCCCUACUGCAGUCCCUACUGGAACUCCUAUAGCUCCUGUAAGAUCAGCACUAUGCCCUGUACUUCAAGUCUAUUUCUGCAAGCGCUUCCUAUUGAAAAAGCUUCAAGUCCCCCUUGCAUUCAGCAGCAAUCCCUGCUCUUCCAGAUCCCUGCCCCACAGGGGCACGUGGACCAGCAGGCAGCUCUCCAUCAGUAUGCAGUCUGAGAGGGACUCAGGGAAAAAGCAACCCUCUCACCUCACCCACCGUGGCAGAAUGCAGGCACUGCUGCGAGGUGCUGCAGCUGAUGUGUGCCCUGCAGAACAGCUGCAGGCAGAGGGCAGCUCCGUGCUCAGCCAGGAGCAGCUCCAGGCACCCCGGCCUGCCAGGUCCAUGCCUUGCCAAGCACACUGCACAAGUCAGGCCCAUUCGUUUUGUAGCUGUUUUCAACGUGUCAGAUACCAGCAUUAGAAAGCACUCAGGCGUACAUCAUUUCAGCAGGCUCCUUGGAGCACAGGCAAGUAUCCCAGAGUAAUUUUCACUUUGUGUUUGAAAUGCAAGAGGCGAGUGCACAUGCUUCCCUCUUUUUCCUGAAGGGAGUAGAAGACUUCAGCAUUUCUUUCCAUGUUGCACUGUAGGAUUCAGCUGGGAGUUUCCAUGGUUUUCCAGCUUUAUCACGUGGCAGCAAGGUUUCAUCUUCCCCAUCAGACAAGCUGAUGCUGCAUCCAACUCCAAGAGAUGUAGGAUUCCAGCUUAUUGAAGCACUACUCAACAGAUCUCUAUCCCUUCCAACCCAACCACCACCACCAGUCUGCAU